rnacentral:rRNA from 1 species
AUGGUCAAACCAUCCAUACACUAUGCAAGCAACGGCGUGACUUGCACUGCAUCUUGCCUCGUGCAUCUCCGGCGCGCCAGCGCGCUGCGGCUUGCCGCCUCCCAGUCAAGAUCCCGCACGGCCGCGCCCGCGCCGCUGCGGAUUGCUGCGUCCCAGUCCGGGCUCUUUCCCAACGCCCCGCACUCCGGCCGGCCCCUGCGCAACGGCACCGUGUUCGCACCGUCCUGUGCCGGCCUCCGCACGGCUUUCUCCGCCCGUGGCCGGGUGCCCGUCAUGCCCGCUGCGCUCCGUGCUGCUCGUCGGCCUCCCAGCCGCCGGGUCCGCCCCGCCUGUGGCCGGCCGCUCUCGGCCUCCCGAGCGCCUGCUCCGCCUCAAGCCCGUCCACCUACUUCGCCUGCCCACCCGCCGGCUUGCGUUCGCGUCGCUGCCGCCAUAUUCGCGCCCGGCCGCUGCGCCCCUGCGCGCUCCUCUGCCUGCACCGGCUGUGGCCCCGUCCCGGCCCACCAGCCAGCUCGGCGCGUUGCCAGGCCCGCCCCACGGCCGACUCCGCCUGCAUCCCAUAUCAGGCCGACUCCUCUCCACCGCCUGGCCGAAACGCCUCCGCCUCCAACAGCCCGCGCGCCCGCGCCCCGAGCUCGGCCUCCAGUCCCCGGCGCCACUUGGCCCCACUUCUGGCCUCUCCGCGCCGACUCCACCCUGCCGGAUGCCCUGCGCCGGGUCCUCUGCGCCGGCUCCGGCUCCCCGGUGCCCGGCUGGGUUCGAACUCGCGCCUCCGUCCGCUCCGCACACAGCGCCGACUUCGCCUCUGCUCCGGCCGGCUCCUGCGCUCGUCGGCUUCCCGCAACCCGGCUAGCCGGCUCCCAUGCGCCGGCUGCCCGGGCAUCCCGGACUCCUCCGUCCGUGUCGCCCUUGGCCGACUGCUGCUCCGCGCCUGCAUCGCGCUCAGCCGCGCACCCGGAUGGUAGGCUCCGCCCCGCACCCGGCUCGGCCUCCCCUGCUGCCGGCUGCUGCGCUCCAGGUCCAGCAGCCUGCUGCGGCCGAGUGCCCUAA